AUUGAACGCUGGCGGCAGGCCUAACACAUGCAAGUCGAACGGUAACAGGAAGCAGCUUGCUGCUUUGCUGACGAGUGGCGGACGGGUGAGUAAUGUCUGGGAAACUGCCUGAUGGAGGGGGAUAACUACUGGAAACGGUAGCUAAUACCGCAUAACGUCGCAAGACCAAAGAGGGGGACCUUAGGGCCUCUUGCCAUCGGAUGUGCCCAGAUGGGAUUAGCUAGUAGGUGGGGUAACGGCUCACCUAGGCGACGAUCCCAAGCUGGUCUGAGAGGAUGACCAGCCACACUGGAACUGAGACACGGUCCAGACUCCUACGGGAGGCAGCAGUGGGGAAUAUUGCACAAUGGGCGCAAGCCUGAUGCAGCCAUGCCGCGUGUAUGAAGAAGGCCUUCGGGUUGUAAAGUACUUUCAGCGGGGAGGAAGGGAGUAAAGUUAAUACCUUUGCUCAUUGACGUUACCCGCAGAAGAAGCACCGGCUAACUCCGUG
rnacentral:rRNA from 1 species